CCUACGGGGUGCAGCAGUGAGGAAUAUUGGUCAAUGGCCGAGAGCCUGAACCAGCCAAGUCGCGUGAGGGAAGACGGCCCUACGGGUUGUACACCUCUUUUGUCGGGGAGCAAAGCGAGUCACGUGUGACUCAUUGAGAGUACCCGAAGAAAAAGCAUCGGCUAACUCCGUGCCAGCAGCCGCGGUAAUACGGAGGAUGCGAGCGUUAUCCGGAUUUAUUGGGUUUAAAGGGUGCGCAGGCGGAGUUGUAAGUCAGCGGUCAAAGUGCGGGGCUCAACCCCGUACAGCCGUUGAAACUGCAUGCCUUGAGUGCGCGAGAAGUAUGCGGAAUGCGUGGUGUAGCGGUGAAAUGCAUAGAUAUCACGCAGAACUCCGAUUGCGAAGGCAGCAUACCGGCGCGAAACUGACGCUGAUGCACGAAAGCGUGGGUAUCGAACAGGAUUAGAUACCCGUGUAGUC
rnacentral:rRNA from 1 species